AACGAACGCUGGCGGCAUGCCUAACACAUGCAAGUCGAACGAGACCUUCGGGUCUAGUGGCGCACGGGUGCGUAACGCGUGGGAACCUGCCCUUAGGUUCGGAAUAACUCCCCGAAAGGGGUGCUAAUACCGGAUAAUGUCUUCGGACCAAAGAUUUAUCGCCUUUGGAUGGGCCCGCGUUGGAUUAGCUAGUUGGUAGGGUAAAAGCCUACCAAGGCGACGAUCCAUAGCUGGUCUGAGAGGAUGAUCAGCCACACUGGGACUGAGACACGGCCCAGACUCCUACGGGAGGCAGCAGUGGGGAAUAUUGGACAAUGGGCGAAAGCCUGAUCCAGCAAUGCCGCGUGAGUGAUGAAGGCCUUAGGGUUGUAAAGCUCUUUUACCUGGGAUGAUAAUGACAGUACCGGGAGAAUAAGCUUCGGCUAACUCCGUG
rnacentral:rRNA from 1 species